UACGGAGGAUGCAAGCGUUAUCCGGAAUGAUUGGGCGUAAAGGGUCCGCAGGUGGCAGUGUAAGUCUGCUGUCAAAGAAUGAGGCUUAACCUUAUCAAGGCAGUGGAAACUACACAGCUAGAGUACGGUCGGGGUAGAAGGAAUUCCUGGUGUAGCGGUGAAAUGCGUAGAGAUCAGGAAGAACACUGGUGGCGAAAGCGUUCUGCUAGACCUGUACUGACACUGAGGGACGAAAGCUAGGGGAGCGAAUGGG
rnacentral:rRNA from 1 species